UGGGGAAUAUUGCACAAUGGGCGCAAGCCUGAUGCAGCCAUGCCGCGUGUAUGAAGAAGGCCUUCGGGUUGUAAAGUACUUUCAGCGAGGAGGAAGGCGUUGUGGUUAAUAACCGCAGCGAUUGACGUUACUCGCAGAAGAAGCACCGGCUAACUCCGUGCCAGCAGCCGCGGUAAUACGGAGGUUGCAAGCGUUAAUCGGAAUUACUGGGCGUAAAGCGCACGCAGGCGGUCUGUCAAGUCGGAUGUGAAAUCCCCGGGCUCAACCUGGGAACUGCAUCCGAAACUGGCAGGCUAGAGUCUUGUAGAGGGGGGUAGAAUUCCAGGUGUAGCGGUGAAAUGCGUAGAGAUCUGGAGGAAUACCGGUGGCGAAGGCGGCCCCCUGGACAAAGACUGACGCUCAGGUGCGAAAGCGUGGGGAGCAAACA
rnacentral:rRNA from 1 species